rnacentral:lncRNA from 10 species
CGUGUGGCCCUAAGGCUCCCAGGCCCAAAAGUCAGCCAACCCUAGUACUAGUUUUCCAGAAGAAUCCAGAGCCUACGCACCCAGGCCCUCAGUGUGAACAAGGGCACGUUAUUUGCUCUCACAGUCUCCUUCUGCUCAUCUGUAAAAUGGGCAUGGCCACCAUGCCCUCUGUGUCCCAGGCUGUCUAGAGGGUUGAGCAGGCAGGGUAGGAUCUGGUACCCACCAUGCCCCCGAUGCCCACGCAGGCCAGAGAGGGGAGAAAUGGAGUUGGCUGAGGCCUGGCCCUCCAAUGCCCUCUCUGGGCUCUGAACCAGGGCUCCGUCCGUCCCCUGGGGCUGCCUCCCGCAGGCCAGGGCUCCUUUAUCCUCCCCGUUGAGCACCUGGGGCGCGGGGAUGACAGCCUCAUUUCCCCAAGCAGCCCCCACAGGGCUCCCUGGAUUCCUCUCUGACAAGCACAUGCGCCGGCUCUGGUCUUGGCUCCGUGUGCCCCAGCACGACAGAACAAGUGCGGCAAGACCCAGGCCUGCAGGGCGGCGGCAAGUGCCCGGAGGGGCGGAGGCGGGGGUAGGGGGUAUGCCGGCGCCCGGCAGUGUCGC